UGAGAGGUUGGGGCGGGCGGGCGCCUUGCCAACCCGGUCAGGUCCGGAAGGAAGCAGCCGCAACAAGUUUUGCUCGGGUCGUGUCCAGCCUCUCACCU
rfam:Xuhuaishuia manganoxidans strain DY6-4 genome.